rnacentral:rRNA from 1 species
AUUGAACGCUGGCGGCAUGCCUUACACAUGCAAGUCGAACGGUAACGCGGGGCAACCUGGCGACGAGUGGCGAACGGGGGAGUAAUGUAUCGGAACGUGCCCAGUUGUGGGGGAUAACUGCUCGAAAGAGCAGCUAAUACCGCAUACGACCUGAGGGUGAAAGCGGGGGAUCGCAAGACCUCGCGCAAUUGGAGCGGCCGAUAUCAGAUUAGGUAGUUGGUGGGGUAAAGGCUCACCAAGCCCACGAUCUGUAGCUGGUCUGAGAGGACGACCAGCCACACUGGGACUGGGACACGGCCCAGACUCCUACGGGAGGCAGCAGUGGGGAAUUUUGGACAACGGACGCAAGUCUGAUCCAGCCAUGCCGCGUGCGGGAAGAAGGCCUUCGGGUUGUAAACCGCUUUUGUCAGGGAAGAAACGCUCUGGGUUAAUACCCCGGGGUAAUGACGGUACCUGAAGAAUAAGCACCGGCUAACUACGUGCCAGCAGCCGCCGUAAUAC